GAUGAACGCUAGCGGCAGGCCUAAUACAUGCAAGUCGAACGAGAUUGUUGUAUUUAUAUGACAUGAAAGUGGCGCACGGGUGCGUAACACGUAUGCAAUCUACCUCUAAUAGGGGAAUAGCUUCGAGAAAUCGGAAUUAAUACCCCAUAACAUAAUUGAAUGGCAUCAUUCGAUUAUCAAACCUCCGGGGAUUAGAGAUGAGCAUGCGCAACAUUAGCUAGUUGGUAAGGUAAUGGCUUACCAAGGCUACGAUGUUUAGGGGGUCUGAGAGGAUGAUCCCCCACACUGGUACUGAGACACGGACCAGACUCCUACGGGAGGCAGCAGUAGGGAAUAUUGGUCAAUGGAGGAAACUCUGAACCAGCCAUGCCGCGUGCAGGAUGACGGCCCUCUGGGUUGUAAACUGCUUUUAUACGGGAAGAAAAAAUACUACGUGUAGUAUACUGACGGUACCGUAAGAAUAAGGAUCGGCUAACUCCGUGCCAG
rnacentral:rRNA from 1 species